GACGAACGCUGGCGGCGUGCUUAACACAUGCAAGUCGAACGCAGUGGCGCACGGGUGAGUAACGCGUAAUCAACCUGCCCUUCAGAGGGGGACCACAGUUGGAAACGACUGCUAAUACCGCAUAGUGACGGACGGGAGUGGGGCUGAUUAGCUAGUUGGAUGGGUAACGGCCCACCAAGGCGAUGAUCAGUAGCCGGUCUGAGAGGAUGAACGGCCACAUUGGGACUGAGACACGGCCCAGACUCCUACGGGAGGCAGCAGUGGGGAAUCUUCCGCAAUGGACGAAAGUCUGACGGAGCAACGCCGCGUGAGUGAUGACGGCCUUCGGGUUGUAAAGCUCUGUUAAUCGGGACGCGGUACCGGAAUAGAAAGCCACGGCUAACUACGUGCCAGCAGCCGCGGUAAUUC
rnacentral:rRNA from 1 species